GCUUUACAAAGAUCCGGAGUCAGAGUCCGAAGAUUUGAAGGUUUACGAAUCUCCAGAUGGCAAAACAGUUUUCGAUAUCAAGGAUGCCAAGGUUAACCCUAAGGAAGAGGCCAUCUUCAGGUUGCCCAACGGGAUCGCUACUGGCAGCAUCCGGGUUGUUCCAGUCGAAUGGAAGGACAAGAUCGGCUUUAAAUUGAAGAUAUAUGGGAACAGAGGUCGCAAACCGAAGGGACCAUCCAGAGAUCGAG